rnacentral:lncRNA from 1 species
CUCUGGGAGGAUUUCAAACAGAACACUCCUUUCCUCAACUGGAAAGCAAUUAUUGAGGGUGCGGACGCGUCAUCACUGCAGAAACGUGCAGGCAGAGACGAUCAGGUGAGUCUCUGUCCUCAAGUUACCCUGCAGGGCCCUUGGUCCCCCUUGGCCUUGCUCCCGGGUCUGGGCAAUCUGAAAUUCUCUUUCACUCCUCCAUUCAAUGGCUUUCUCAGCCGGGUGCAGGAUGGCAGGAGGUGGCAGCUGUAACUUCCAAGAACUACAAUUACAACCAGCAUGCGUAUCCCACUGCCUAUGGUGGGAAGUACUCAGUCAAGACCCC